rnacentral:tRNA from 1 species
CUCUCCAUAGUUAAAGGGAUAUAACCUAGGAUUUCUAAUCCUAUAUUGAAAGUUCGAAUCUUUCUGGGGAGA